UAAAGGUUUCACAAAAACCAAACAAGAGAGAAAAAAAAAAAUCAACAUGAAGGCCUCAACAUUCUUCAUCGCUGUAUUGGUUAUUGUAUCAUGUGUCGCAAUGAUAGAAAGCAAAGAUUGUGAAAUAAACGACGAUUGCAAAGACUGGCAACCAUGUCCGGUGCCUUUCGCUUGUGUAUUUGGCAACUGCGUUUGUCCAU